rnacentral:tRNA from 1 species
CGGGAUGUUGCCUAGUGGCUAUGGCACUUGCUUUGGGAGCAAGACUUCGCGGGUUCGAGUCCCGCCGUCCCGA